rnacentral:rRNA from 1 species
GACGGACGCUGGCGGCGUGCCUAAUACAUGCAAGUAGAACGCACAGUUUAUACCGUAGCUUGCUACACCAUAAACUGUGAGUUGCGAACGGGUGAGUAACGCGUAGGUAACCUGCCUGGUAGCGGGGGAUAACUAUUGGAAACGAUAGCUAAUACCGCAUAAUAUUAAUUAUUGCAUGAUAAUUGAUUGAAAGAUGCAAUUGCAUCACUACCAGAUGGACCUGCGUUGUAUUAGCUAGUAGGUGAGGUAACGGCUCACCUAGGCGACGAUACAUAGCCGACCUGAGAGGGUGAUCGGCCACACUGGGACUGAGACACGGCCCAGACUCCUACGGGAGGCAGCAGUAGGGAAUCUUCGGCAAUGGACGAAAGUCUGACCGAGCAACGCCGCGUGAGUGAAGAAGGUUUUCGGAUCGUAAAGCUCUGUUGUAAGAGAAGAACGGGUGUGAGAGUGGAAAGUUCACACUGUGACGGUAUCUUACCAGAAAGAGACGGCUAACUACGUG